CCACAAAUGAGUGGGUGAUGCGUGACUGUGAACCCUCAACUCUAAGUCCUAGUCUUAGCUGAAGUUUGUGAUUUUCUCCUAUGAAGCUUUCCAAAUGCCACAGUGUCUGCUGACUUAACUGGCCCCUGUGUCAUGGAGGCUGCCUAAUUAUUCAUUAGAGUCUGUGCUGCUCUGAUGGCUCAAUGACUGGCAUUAACUGAAAUCAUCAUGACCUGAAAAGCUAUUCAGAUUUGAGAGGUCCCCUUGAAAUUUUGGUUCACCUGCAAACCUGAACAGACACUGGGAGGAAACCAGAAACCCCACCAAUGCCUGUUUAUUAACAGGAAUGGUAGCGAAAAGGAGCGGCUAAUGACACAUGGAGAUCAGCCCUGCAGAAGUCAAAGAACCACCGCCAUGAGCUGCAUUGUAAAAGCCACUCAAGUUUUUUAUUUAACUAUCAGUCCUAGUCUAACUCAUUUCAAGCUCUAUGCCUACAGGCUUUUGGUAGUUUAUAUAACCAGUUAUCUCAUUUUUAAUGUUAUAUCUAUAAAAAGAUCUUAUUUUAUUUUAUUUUGAACCCCUUACUUGAUAAUGAAAAACAUGUUAAUAAGGCACCUCAUCAAUAGCAGUCAAGGCCAGAUGACAGGUCUUAAUGACAAACUAAUUACAAGAACCCUGUGCAUUGUGCCAAAGGCUUUCAGUUUUCCAGCCACCAUCUGAAAAUAGGUGCUUCAGAAUGAUCUCAUCAUGAAUACAUUAAUUUCAUUCAUUCAUUCCUCUUAUUUGUUCACUCAUUCAUUCAUCCUGUAAACACAAACACAAGCCCAUGGUGGGCCAAACACAAUGUUAGACAGAGGGAAUAUAAAAGAAAGCCAGACGCCUGCCUCAUGUUGCUGAAGUCCAAGGGGAAGACAGAUGAGUAAUCCUGCAAGAACCAAUAACCGUCUUUAGUCAGGGCUCUCCAAAGAGAGAUGCACACUCUGGCUAUGAGGGCACAGAGUGCAGUGCUGAACCUGGAGAACAUGAGUGAGACAAACCUGAGCAGACACUGGGAGGAGACCAGAGACCCCACCAAUGCUUGUUUAUUGGAAAAGAAAAGGAGUGGCUAACAAUGCAAAUGUCAAGUGAGCAGGGAAUCUGAGUAAGACCACUAAGAAAGAAUAUGCCAUGCCUGUUUUCUUACUGAACUUCCAGGGUAAAAGGAGACAGAAAAUGUUGUCCACUGCUCCUGGAGAUGCCCUUACUGCAGAGAACAUUCAUCCAUGCCACAAAUAUUUUCACACCUGCCACUUCCCUGAGACUUUGUUACGUACUAGCAUGGACACACUAGUUAUGGUCCUGCAAUCACACAAGUCAGAUGAGGAGACAGAGACACUAUGGUGCUCUAAGGAUUAUAUCAAAUGCUGAUCUUUAUCUCAAAAAAAAAAGCCUAUUUUCCUAGGAUCACCUGACCUCUUUCAGUGUUACUGUUAUUACAACAAUGGGGUUAUCUUGGCUAGAAUGUAUAAGCACAGCUUUAUGUCAGCAUAUCCAUCAGUCACUCUCGGGAGCUAUGCAGUUGUCCAUAUUCUUGGCCCUGUGAUUCAUGUAGAUAUCUUCCUGUUGGUGGCUGUAAUCCACAGAGGCCUCAAUCCAGACUGUUUUUUUCCACUCCCUCAUAAAGCCUGCCUACUACAGCAGAAGCCAGAAGAGAAGUGUUCUGAUGAAUAUUUCCUAAGCUAGUAGGAUUCACAGUGGGGUCACUGAUUUAUCCACACAUUAGUCACCGUGGACAUAUACUCAGUGAAACAGGAUACAAUGUUAAUUGUGGUCUGUCAGCUCCAAGAUUCAAUUAAGGGAGCAGGGCUGACGGAAUGUAUAUGUUUACAAGGGCCACUUGCAUAGGACAGACCCACUGAAAGAGCAGAUGCUUACUAGCAAUAUGUUACAAUAAAUAACUAAAUCCUCCUUGGAGUGACUAUAUAACAGUCAGCCACCCCACAGAGGUCUUGAGAUCAAAUGAGCUACAACGCCCUAGAUUCUACCUGGAGACACUUAGGCUAGAAUCUCUUAAUAGAGAAAGGUCCAUAGUGGAAGGUCCAGCAGGCUUUCUUUGAUUCAUGACAUCCUGAUUUCAUAAAAGUAAACAUGAACAUCUACCUCCUCCACUACACUGCACUGGCAGCUCCCAGAGUUGUCCUAACAGGCAGGGAUUUUAUAAUAGGGUUGGCACAGCUUUCCUCUUGCCUGGCUGCCUGACUCAAUAGCAAAGCACAGUUCAGGGCCCCACAGUAUCAAUCCCAGUCUCGCUGGGCUGCACUCAAAUCCAAAUGGUUGAACUUUUAACUGCAUUUGGGGGUAGGGCAGUUGGGAAGGCAUGGUAGGACAUUAACUAAAACCUUGGCUUAGGAAUUGAUAAGCAUGCAUUUAUUUCAUCUUGCAAACCCAACCAUGUCCCAGGUCCACACUCAGCAGGCAAACGUGAGAGCAAAUUUCUUGGAAGUUUAUCUACAAAGCGCAUGCAUUACAGAACUUAGGGAAAAGGUAUGGUUUCCCACACCAAAUGUUCAUCCAAAUGUCAAGCACAGAAAGUUCUUUUUAACUUCAGUAGGAGCUCUGAUUAUGUAAAGAGCAUAAAAGUGCUGUGAACAAUUGGACUGUCACCCCAAAAUUAUGUUAAAUAUGUUCAUACAGUGUUUUCAAAACCUCAGUUACUUGUUUUCCUAUAAUUUGACAGCACAUAAUUUAUUCUUUAGAAAAAUAUUCAUUAAAUUAGGUGUAUCCAGGUAGAUAACAGAUAUUACAAUUUUACCACUGGUUCAAAGAUUCAGAUAGAGUGUUUCUAAAUAUCCCAAGACCUUUCCAUAAAUAGAGGCAGUCUCAUGACAACUGACAUUUUAAAAACAAAAUCUCUUUUUACAUAUUAAUUAUGAUUCCCAUCCCCACUUUGUAGUUCCUACACAGACAAGUGACUGCACCCAGCUUAGCAUGUCUGUCAGUUUACACUAUGUGUGUAGAAAGAUUUAUUAAAAUAAAUACAGAUCAAUGGGCUUUAGAGUUACUAUAUUAGAUUAACUACCAAGAUUUUUCUGAGAGCAUGCUAUUAAAAUAAAUGGGCUUCUCCUUGAUUUGCAAAGCAAUGUGGGAUUUUAAAAACCAGAAUGUCCCUGAUUUGAUGGAAAGAAUUUAUUUUCCUUUUUAAACAACUUUAUCUUGCAUUUUUAAGAAGAUACUUCUGAUUAAAGAGAACUAAUUUCCUUAUGUUGAAAUUCUAAAGAGCUCUUUUCCAAGAAACUGCACAUGCCUCACCCCCCACCCCCCCGCAAUACAGGGACAUGGCACACAUCAAGAAAUCAGCAUUUUCACUCAAAAACACGAACAAUACAUAAAUGCUUAAGUGUU